CAGUCGCCGCGGGAAUACGUGGGGUGCAAGCGUUGUCCGGAAUUAUUGGGCGUAAGGCGUGCGCAGGCGGUUAUAUAAGACAGAUGUGAAAUCCCCGGGCUCAACCUGGGAACUGCAUUUGUGACUGUAUAGCUAGAGUACGGCAGAGGGGGAUGGAAUUCCGCGUGUAGCAGUGAAAUGCGUAGAUAUGCGGAGGAACACCGAUGGCGAAGGCAAUCCCCUGGGCCUGUACUGACGCUCAUGCACGAAAGCGUGGGGAGCAAACAGGAUUAGAUACCCCUGUAGUCCCUGUCUCUUAUAA
rnacentral:rRNA from 1 species